rnacentral:rRNA from 1 species
UUGACUGAUGCAGACGAAAUGGUUUUCUUUACCCCGUCUUGAAACACGGACCAAGGAGUCUAACAUAUGUGCGAGUACAGGGGUGUCAAACCCCGGUGCGUAAUGAAAGUGACAGUGGUUGGAUAUUUUGCACAAUCCGCCGGCCUCAAUCCUUCGGGAGAACGGUCUGAGUGUGAGCAUACAUGUUGGGACCCGAAAGAUGGUGAACUAUGCCUGAAUAGGGUGAAGCCAGAGGAAACUCUGGUGGAGGCCCGUAGCGAUACUGACGUGCAAAUCGUUCGUCGAA